UGGGGGAUAUUGCACAAUGGGCGAAAGCCUGAUGCAGCGACGCCGCGUGGGGGAUGAAGGCUUUCGGGUUGUAAACCUCUUUCGCUAUCGAACAAGGCCCGCUUAGGGUGGGUUGAGGGUAGGUGGAGAAGAAGCGCCGGCUAACUACGUGCCAGCAGCCGCGGUAAUACGUAGGGCGCGAGCGGUGUCCGGAAUUAUUGGGCGUAAAGGGCUUGUAGGCGGCUUGUUGCGCCUGCUGUGAAAACGCGGGGCUUAACUUCGCGCGUGCAGUGGGUACGGGCAGGCUUGAGUGUGGUAGGGGUGACUGGAAUUCCAGGUGUAGCGGUGGAAUGCGCAGAUAUCUGGAGGAACACCGAUGGCGAAGGCAGGUCACUGGGCCAUUACUGACGCUGCGGAGCGAAAGCAUGGGUAGCGAACAGG
rnacentral:rRNA from 1 species